rnacentral:rRNA from 1 species
AGUGAACGCUGGCGGUAGGCCUAACACAUGCAAGUCGAACGGCAGCACAGUAAGAGCUUGCUCUUACGGGUGGCGAGUGGCGGACGGGUGACGAAUACAUCGGAAUCUACUUUUUCGUGGGGGAUAACGUAGGGAAACUUACGCUAAUACCGCAUACGACCUACGGGUGAAAGCAGGGGAUCUUCGCACCUUGCGCGAUUGAAUUAGCCGAUGUCGGAUUAGCUAGUUGGCGGGGUAAAGUCCCACCAAGGCGACGAUCCGUAGCUGGUCUGAGAGGAUGAUCAGCCACACUGGAACUGAGACACGGUCCAGACUCCUACGGGAGGCAGCAGUGGGGAAUAUUGGACAAUGGGCGCAAGCCUGAUCCAGCCAUACCGCGUGGGUGAAGAAGGCCUUCGGGUUGUAAAGCCCUUUUGUUGGGAAAGAAAAGCAGCAGGUUAAUACCCCGCUGUUCUGACGGUACCCAAAGAAUAAGCACCGGCUAACUUCGUG